GGCAAGAUGGCCGAGCGGUUAAGGCGUGUGACUCAAGCGAAAGCUUACCUUUCUGGGUUCUCAUCACGUAAUGUGGCGUGGGUUCGAGUCCCACUCUUGUCA